rnacentral:rRNA from 2 species
UGCUACGGUGAAUACGUUCCCGGGCCUUGUACACACCGCCCGUCACACCAUGGGAGUGGGUUGCAAAAGAAGUAGGUAGCUUAACCUUCGGGAGGGCGCUUACCACUUUGUGAUUCAUGACUGGGGUGAAGUCGUAACAAGGUAACCGUAGGGGAACCUGCGGUUGGAUCACCUCCUUACCUUAAAGAA